UACGAAGGGGGCUAGCGUUGUCCGGAAUCAUUGGGCGUAAAGCGCGUGUAGGCGGUCCGGUAAGUCCGCUGUGAAAGUCGGGGGGCUCAACCCUCGAAUGCCGGUGGAUACUGUCGGGCUAGAGUGCGGAAGAGGCGAGUGGAAUUCCUGGUGUAGCGGUGAAAUGCGCAGAUAUCAGGAGGAACACCAAUGGCGAAGGCAGCUCGCUGGGACGGUACUGACGCUGAGGCGCGAAAGCGUGGGGAGCAAACAGG
rnacentral:rRNA from 1 species